rnacentral:rRNA from 1 species
UAGGGAAUCUUCCACAAUGGGCGCAAGCCUGAUGCAGCGACGCCGCGUGAGGGAUGGAGGCCUUCGGGUUGUAAACCUCUUUUAUCGGGGAGCAAGCGAGAGUGAGUUUACCCGUUGAAUAAGCACCGGCUAACUACGUGCCAGCAGCCGCGGUAAUACGUAGGGUGCAAGCGUUAUCCGGAAUUAUUGGGCGUAAAGGGCUCGUAGGCGGUUCGUCGCGUCCGGUGUGAAAGUCCAUCGCUUAACGGUGGAUCCGCGCCGGGUACGGGCGGGCUUGAGUGCGGUAGGGGAGACUGGAAUUCCCGGUGUAACGGUGGAAUGUGUAGAUAUCGGGAAGAACACCAAUGGCGAAGGCAGGUCUCUGGGCCGUUACUGACGCUGAGGAGCGAAAGCGUGG